rnacentral:rRNA from 1 species
GACGAACGCUGGCGGCGUGCUUAACACAUGCAAGUCGAACGGAAAGGCCCUGCUUUUGUGGGGUGCUCGAGUGGCGAACGGGUGAGUAACACGCGAGUAACCUGCCCUUGUCUUUGGGAUAACUCCAGGAAACAGGGGCUCAUACCGGAUAGGAGCUCCUGCUGCACGGUGGGGGUUGGUAAGUUUCGGCGGUUGGGGAUAGACUCGCGGCUUAUCCGCUUGUUGGUGAGGUAGUGGCUUACCAAGGCUUCGACGGGUAGCCGGCCUGAGAGGGUGACCGGCGACAUUGGGACUAAGAUACGGACCAGACUCCUACGGGAGGCAGCAGUGGAAAGUAUUGCGCAAUAAGGGGAAGCCAGAUGCAGCGGCGCCGCGAGCGGGAUGACGGCUUUCGGGUUGAGAACCGCUUUCGCCGGUAACGAAGCCUGAGUGACGGUAAUGGAUAAAGAAGCACCGGCUAACUACGUG